GACGUAGGUGGCGAACGUUAUCCGGAAUUAUUGGGCGUAAAGGGUGCGUAGAUGGCCUGAUAAGUUAGCAGUGGGAAAUCGAGGCUCAACCUCGUGGAAGCUGGUAAUACUGUCAGGCUCGAGUGCAGGAGAGGUUAACGGAACUCCAUGUGGAGCGGUAAAAUGUGUAGAUAUAUGGAAGAACACCAAUAACGGCGAAGGCAGUUAACUAUUCUGUUACUGACAUUGAGGCACGAAAGCGUGGGAGCAAACGG
rnacentral:rRNA from 1 species